ACCAUCUUGCCUGAUUUCAGUAGUUUAUGCGGAAACAACUGCAAAGAACAGCAAAUGGUAGCAGCAGGUAUACUCAAAUAUGCAAACUUCUGGCAUAAGAAGCUUUUGUUGAAGACAGUAUGGACAUGACAGUUCAACCCAAAUUACUUAUAAGUCCACAUACUGCAUGUAAUGGCACAUGGAGUCUGAAUUUAUCAGUUAGCACAUGAUGCUUAGCUGCCGGCUCCUCUUUCCCCUUCAAACUGCACAACAAGAUUGUCCAUUGUCAACCUUUUAGGUAUAGCUUGUAGGAUUUUUCUUGCAGUCCAUGACUUUUCUUUUUUGAUUUUUCUACCUUUUAACAUGUUCAAACAUGCAACACACACACACACACACACACACUUGCAAUAAUUCUUCACUAGUUUAAAUAAAAAAUGUAUUGCAGGAAAAAACUAGCUACAGCAUAUUCGGGAAGGAAACAAAAAGGGCUAAUUAUAUUAAUAAAAUUUACAGUAUGGGGACAAUGAAACCUUAAAUGAAAUAGAUAGUCAUUCUGAUAUGUCAGGCUUGUUCCU
rnacentral:lncRNA from 1 species